UACAGAGACUGCAAGCGUUAUUCGGAUUCACUGGGCGUAAAGCGCACGUAGGCGGCUUUCUAAGUCAGGGGUGAAAUCCUGGAGCUCAACUCCAGAACUGCCUUUGAUACUGGAGAGCUCGAGUCCGGAAGAGGUGAGUGGAACUGCGAGUGUAGAGGUGAAAUUCGUAGAUAUUCGCAAGAACACCAGUGGCGAAGGCGGCUCACUGGCCCGAUACUGACGCUGAGGCACGAAAGCGUGGGGAGCAAACAGG
rnacentral:rRNA from 1 species